GACGAACGCUGGCGGCGUGCUUAAUACAUGCAAGUCAACUGAACUCGAAGUAGCAAUAUUUUGAGGGAGGUGGCGCACGGGUGAGUAACACGUAGGUAAUCUGCCUUUAGGUCUGACACAACCUACCGAAAGGUAGGCUAAUUUCAGAUGAUGCAGCGGCUCGACAUCGAGACAGUUGUUAAAUCUUCGGAGCCUAAAGAUGAGCCUGCGUCUGAUUAGGUAGUUGGCGGGGUAAAAGCCCACCAAGCCUGCGAUCAGUAGCUGGUCUGAGAGGAUGAUCAGCCACACUGGAACUGAGACACGGGUCCAGACUCCUACGGGAGGCAGCAGUAAGGAAUAUUGCUCAAUGGCCGAAAGGCUGAAGCAGCAACGCCGCGUGGAGGAU
rnacentral:rRNA from 1 species